GAUGAACGCUGGCGGCGUGCCUAAUACAUGCAAGUCGAGCUAACAGAUGAGGAGCUUGCUCCUCUGACGUUAGCGGCGGACGGGUGAGUAACACGUGGAUAACCUACCUAUAAGACUGGGAUAACUUCGGGAAACCGGAGCUAAUACCGGAUAAUAUAUUGAACCGCAUGGUUCAAUAGUGAAAGACGGUUUUGCUGUCACUUAUAGAUGGAUCCGCGCCGCAUUAGCUAGUUGGUAAGGUAACGGCUUACCAAGGCGACGAUGCGUAGCCGACCUGAGAGGGUGAUCGGCCACACUGGAACUGAGACACGGUCCAGACUCCUACGGGAGGCAGCAGUAGGGAAUCUUCCGCAAUGGGCGAAAGCCUGACGGAGCAACGCCGCGUGAGUGAUGAAGGUCUUCGGAUCGUAAAACUCUGUUAUUAGGGAAGAACAAAUGUGUAAGUAACUAUGCACGUCUUGACGGUACCUAAUCAGAAAGCCACGGCUAACUACGUG
rnacentral:rRNA from 1 species